rnacentral:lncRNA from 1 species
UCUUCUCCAACUACAAGUCCAUCUCCAAGCUUGAAGAUCAUUCGUAGAAGUUGCAAGUUGAAGGGCUCUCAAGAAAGCUUUGUUCAAGUCUUUAUCACCAUCUUUUCUCUUCAUCUUUGCACUAGAUUCAUCCCUAGCUUUAAGCUAGUAGAGAUGGUCCCCGUUUCGUGUUUGCUGAGGAGAUUUGGGUUACGAGUACCGAAGACGCAAUACAGAAAUUAAGUAUGGAUCUGGCG